CGACCAGGACACCCCUGUCCUUAUCUAACCUCCGGCAGCCGAGCGGAAUAGCGCCAUGGAUAGGUUGCUUGAAGCUUUCCGUUCAGGUUAAAGGGUAGGGGAUGUGGUAGGUAGGAGAAGAUCGAAAUCGUCUAUGCUAACCGCACAAAUGGAAUGGCCCACCAAACCGUGUGUGUGGCGUACGCAUGUUCUAGCUCAGCCCAAUCUACUCCCCUAAAAAAAUGGCUCAGCUAAAUCUAUGUUCCUCUAGCUAUAAUCUAAAGAAAAGCUCAAUCAACACGUUUGCUAUUCCUAUAAAAAAAAUAUCACAUUUCGCUCAGCCAACCAAAUGUAAACAAUCAUUAUAAUUAUAAUUUUGUUUUUCCAUCCUGUUGGUACAUGUAUUUUUUAGAUCCUGAUGAAACGUGGAUAUUUUGUGCUCAUCAUCGGAAUUUUAAAAAUCAAUACAUGUGUAAGCAUAAAUUACACACUAAAUGUACAGGGCCUAUUUUAGUAAUAUAGGGACUAUUUUAUGAUCUCGCACAGGGCCCGGAAUUUUGACGGCCCGGCCCUGGUUGCAAACCAUGAUUGCAUUCACCAGAAGCACAUAUGUCAUUCAUCAGCAUAUCUUAGGGAUAAUCAUCUUAAUACAUAUGUAUGACCCCACGCCGAUAGUUUGUGAUUUUCUCGUCCUGUUGAUUCAUUGCUGUGUGGAACAAGGAUACUAUUAUGUUUAAAGGGCAUGAACACUUCAGAAGGCAGAUGGCAGUAACAUAACCAUUUUUUUUUUACUUUUGCAUUUUCUUUAUCUCCUAUUGGUAUGAUUAUUCAUGGGUUACUUAAUUAAAUAGCAUCUAUUUAUAUGAAGUUUUCAACUUAUUCACGUUCUUGUCUUAUGCUUCUUUACUUUUGUAUGCUUUUGGGUUUAUUUGAUAACAAGGUGGCCUUGAAGAACAUUUCUAAAAACUUCAGCUGGGCAUAUGGAGCACACGAAAGGCGACAUGUGCAAGCAAUUGUCUGUAAUAUUUUCCCGCACCCAGCUAUUGAAGAAAUUGCCAGUUUUCUUUAACACCAACUACAUUCUCUAAUGUGUAGUUGGUUCGUGAAUAUGUGGAUACGAAGAAACUUUAGAGGCAGUGGGUAUGAAAAAUUAUGCAUUCAGUUUGCGAGAUGUUAAACAUCUAGGUGAGCUUUCAUCCCACACUUGAGAAAUUAUCUUGGAAACUUUGCAUCCUGUCUUGCUUCAGAAGUCAGAAUUACCGUCUUGAGAACCCAUGUGAGAACCCAUGUUUGCAUAAUUAUCUUUUUUCAUAGUAGUAAAGCCUAAAGAUAAAACUCUAUGUAUUGCUGAAUUUUUAAUUUUAGCUAACACUACAAUGUUGCAGAUGAUAGAUUAGAUUCUUAAAUAAAGUAUAGUUUAUUUCUCUUCAUGAUGUCAUUAUGUUUUGGAUAUUUGCAGCUUCCAAGUAAUUAUAUAUUUAUGUCACUGUUUCUAUAUUUAAUUUGUAUCUGCGGUCUACAGGUAUGCAAAAAGUAUUUCACUGCAACCUCAUUAUGCUUUGCUCAUCUGGGUGUUCGAUUUGUCUUAUCUGGUUGAAUGGGACUAUAGAACAUCUGAACAAAGUAACACAUGUGAGGGGUGUCUAUCUGAAUAAAAGAAUAUCAUGUCAUAGGUAGUAUUAUACAUUUUUAUUGUGCAUUUACAGAAGCAUAACGAUGGAAAUGCAGGUCUGCGAACAUCAUUUGGCAGGUCCAUUGCAGUACUGGACACGGGGACAAAGGACACCAUGGGAAACACGAGCAUCGGUGGGUUUAGUGACGCGAAUGGACUAAGGCUAUGACCUCAUUUUUCGGCUCACAUGUGUGCUGGCUGGCUCAAAUUGACAACUCCCCUCCCGAGUGCUAACCGGAUUUUAUUUAAGAAUCUCAAGUAAGUGCAUUCCUUUUAAUAUCUAAGGGCGUGAUUCAGAACUUGGCGCUCUCUCUUUGUGUACUAAUAAUUACGUAUUUCUUGUGGGGUCCGCGUCCAUAUCGCCUGAAGACAAUUGGUAUAUUUCGCUUGUAGGCAUGAAAUGGUAUAGCUGCAUGACAGGAGGUUAACGUGGUCGCUUAGGUGUGUUGAUUCGUUUCUAUGCAGGCUACAGACUUCCUCAAUGUAACGAUUGCGAGCGUGGCACCUAAACAACCGUGGUGGUUCCGGUCCCACAGAUCAUCUACCUCUUAUGGAUCGGAAUACUAAUGCAGUGGAGGCUAUGUUUCAACAAAAUCUUACCCAAAGUAUAUUUAUUUUCCUGAAUCCCCUCCAGCUCCCUAUGCCAUAUGAGUCGGUCCUUCUGCUUGUCUUUGUUCAUGAGGUGCAUCAUGUUUGUUUCUGUUUGCUAGAGCUUUAGGUCAGUAUGUCGCAGUUGAAUUUUUUAUGCUACAGCUGAGUUAUCUUGCCCAUAUAAUUGGCACAACAGAGGUUGGGUCUGCUCUGGUUUCACAUCCACGGUAUGCAGAGGUUGCUGUUGUCGGUGUUCAGCAUGAAUUGAGCAGGGUAUUGGAGGAUGCAUUGGGGGUUGUCAUUGACAGGAGGAACACAUCCCUGUGUUGUGUGCGUGCACGAGCAAAGACACAAACUAUGAGGCAAGUCACAAGCUUACGAGCACGAAAUGUACACUUAGUCCUCAUUGUGCAUCUCCUUUGUGUUUAUUGUUCCUAUGGGCUCUUGUAAUGGCCCUGUUUUCUGUUGUAUGAUGUUCCUGUUAUAAAAGGCAAACUGUAGGAUGCGUUUCUCAUCAUAUUUUUUUUUAUUUCUGAAGGGCUAAGUUUCUUAGCAAAAAUGUGUUGUUUUGUUAAAUAAUAUAUUUUCCGAUCCUACAUGGACAUUUUCAUGCUCGUCGAUCAUCAAAAUAAGGUUGUCUGCAGCCUUGUACAAUAUGUUUAGAAAUUAGGCUAGCAGCAAGUAUAUCCUUCUGUGAACGAACUAUGAUAAAAUAGAUGCUCGUGGUACUGCAGUCUCUUGUAAUCCACUUGGACAUCUCAUGUUGGCUUAAAUGUUUAUCUGACAAUACCAUUUCAUUUUUAAUGAUUGGGUAUACCUUUAUUCCAAUUUUUCAAUAGGUUAGCCUGAUUGGAUGUUUUAAUUCUCGGAUAUAUUGUUUCCUGCUGGGAACCUUUACUCUGAAUACAUCCCUUUCUCCUCUUCCUGUCCUCCGCUUGGUCAAGCUUACUUUGUUUUGCACUGGUUUUGAUAGGAUAUAGCUAACAAAAAUUUUGGAGGUUGCGACCAUCUUGUUUGUUUCAGUUGGUCUGGUUAGGAACGCACUACUGGGCUGUUGAUCAAUGCGCAUGAACUUUUCCUUCAAAUCCUUUUGAUCAACAUAAUAUUGUGGAUUGGAUAUUGUGUAUAUUUAUAAGUCAUCCAAAUUUAGCUGCUGAUUUGUAUUGAUCCCAUGGUUGCCUCCUUAUUUGCAAAGAAGCAACUCAUUGCCAAGUGUUCCAGUUUUUACGAUUUUAGUUUGACAAAAUAUGUUAUCUCAUACACUCUUCCCAGGACAGAUAAUACUAUCAUUGUUUAAUCUGAGAAACUUCAACACAAUGGUUAUUAUGCUUCCUUUUUUGCUGUUGAACCUGUGUUUGUUUCCAUAUGCCAUUUUGUUCAGUAGUUUAUUAUACGGAUUAUGGUUGCAGACAUGCAAUCACGUUUAGAAUAAUUGCAAAUUGCAAUUAAGGGUAACUACAUCAAAUAAGAAAGUGGUAGAUCUUCAAGGGGGUAUCCCAAAUAUGUUCAGAGAGAACUAUCGACAAAAUGGUUCACUGAUGGUACUAGAUAUAACAUUAUAGUUAGUGGAUGAGCAAAAUUAUGUGUGUUUUUCACUUUAUGGUGACCUUUAUUAUUUUUCGUUAACUUCUACAAUUUUGGUAUAUUUGUGCAUUAAAGGAAGGACAUCGUUUUGAUGUUUUGAGGAAGCAAUAUAGGAGCCCUAUGGCUAUCUAUUGAUUGGUUUUCUCACCUAUUUUUCACCUGCCAAUUAUCUAAUUGUGGAUAAAGAAGCAUUCCACUUGUACACCUAUGCUUAUCUCUUGAUUCCCCCAAAAUGAAAGAAAUUUGGAUUCUCCUUAUCUGAGUGCAAAUUUCUUGUAUGGAUUACACUGGGAAUCUUCUUUUCUUGCUCUACGUAUGAUUUAUGCACAGCAGCAGUGUGCUCUUUCUGUACAUAAUGAGUAUUGCCUUUGGUCACACGUAACUCUCCUCUUUUUAUACCCAAAAGUUUUUGUAGCCAGAUCUAUUAAAAGUUAAACUACCGUUUAUGUUGUUCUUUGUUAAAUAUUUAAUGUAGAAGAGUUCAGAUGCCCAACUGUAUGCGCAUGCAUAUUUUUUUGAUUGUUGAAGAACAUGCAUAUAUCUUUACUGGGAUGUACAGAUUUCAUUUCUCUCUGAUUUCUGUUGUAGGUAUCCUACACAAUGAAAUUGCUGCUCGGCUGGGAUUCUAGGCUGGUGUGGUAAAGAAUAUACGAAAGCUUACAUAGUUUCCUGACGUAUGGCAUGUCAAUAUCAUUUUGGUAUCACGGUGAUCAUUUGCAAGCCCAGCGUAGUUCUGUGUUCAGGUUGCUCCUCUUCAUGUGUGCAUCUUUUGUCUAUGUAAACAUGUAAAGUACGUGUGGCACUUAGUUCAGAUUUGAUCCACCAUUCCAUAGGAAUUUCUUUCAUGCAAUAAUCUUGGUCUAUGCAAACCACUAAGUCACAGUUUGGUAUUUCAUUAUACAUAGAACUGAUAUAUAUUGGGAAUUUUGUGUGCAAGCAUAUCAGAUCAAAAGUUGACUAACAUGCAUAUUGAUAUCCUUUUCCAUGUGCUAAAGCAAACAUUAAAUA